rnacentral:rRNA from 1 species
UACGGAGGGUGCGAGCGUUAAUCGGAAUAACUGGGCGUAAAGGGCACGCAGGCGGCUAUUUAAGUGAGGUGUGAAAUCCCCGGGCUUAACCUGGGAAUUGCAUUUCAGACUGGGUAGCUAGAGUACUUUAGGGAGGGGUAGAAUUCCACGUGUAGCGGUGAAAUGCGUAGAGAUGUGGAGGAAUACCGAAGGCGAAGGCAGCCCCUUGGGAAUGUACUGACGCUCAUGUGCGAAAGCGUGGGGAGCAAACAGG